UAUAGUUUUGUAUUUGAUAUUUAUUACUAAUGAAAUACCACCCUGCUCGAAUCGGGAUUCGUACCCGACACCACUUGAUUAGAAAUUUGACUGAGAGGCAAACGUCUAUACCACUAAGCCACACAUCCAUGUAAAAACUGACAGAACAACAACAUAAGAAGAGAUGGACUUUAAAUCCAAUUGAUAAUAAACUGUUGACUGAUGAGGACAAGAACAUUUGGGCAAAUAGUGUUCACAUUUAUUGAAGUUAACUCCAGAAUAAUGACACUACGUUAUACAGUCUAUGCAUUCUUAGUAUAUGUGCAUUAAAAGAAUCUCUCAGGCAUAACCAUGAGGCAGUGAAGCAAGAAGUAGCCCCAAAUAUUUCAUACUAAGAUAAAAAUAGAUCGUCAUUGGAUUAACAUGUAUGACUAGAUGUAUAACGCGUAGGACGUAAUCAUCUUCUUUUUUGAAGUAACGUCUAUAUUUUAUAAGAUAAGUAUAGGAAACAUAUGACAUUAAAAAAUCAUUAAAAAACAA